ensembl:rRNA 5S_rRNA 5S ribosomal RNA
ACUGGCAGCCAUAUCACCCUGUAGCUCAAGACUGGUUACCCACUGAAGCUAAGCAGGGCUGAGCCUGGUCAGUACCUGGAUGGGAGACCUCCUAGGAAAACUAGGUUGCUGCUGGAA